rnacentral:tRNA from 1 species
GGGGACGUAGCUCAGUUGGCAGAGCGCCGCUUUUGCACAGCGGAGGUCACGAGUUCGAAUCUCGUCGUCUCCA